rnacentral:tRNA from 1 species
UCCCUGAAGGCUCAGUGGUAAAGAAUCUGCCUGCCAAUGCAGGAGACACAGGUUUGAUUCCUGAUCUGGGAA